rnacentral:rRNA from 1 species
GACGAACGCUGGCGGCGUGCUUAACACAUGCAAGUCGAGCGAGCGGCGGACGGGUGAGCAAUUUCUGGGAAACUGCCUGACGGACGGGGAUAACUACUGGAACCGGUAGCUAAUACCGCUUACCACCCUAUGUGCUCAGAUGGGAUUAGCUAGUCGGUGGGGUAAUGGCUCAACUAGGCGACGAUCCCUAGCUGGUCUGAGAGGCAGACCAGCCACACUGGAACUGAGACACGGUCCAGACUCCUACGGGAGGCAGCAGUGGGGAAUAUUGCACAAUGGGCGCAAGCCUGAUGCAGCCAUGCCGCGUGUGUGAAGAAGGCCUUCGGGUUGUAAAGCACUUUCAGCGAGGAGGCGUUACUCGCAGAAGAAGCAACGGCUAACUCCGUGCCAGCAGCCGCGGUAAUUC